rnacentral:lncRNA from 1 species
UGGAGUUUGGAGAGAGAGGUCCUUCAUUUCAGAAUGGAAGAGGACAGAGCCUAGAGAAGAGUCCUAGAAAGCAGAUGACAGAGAAAGCCAAGCAGAUGCUAUCUUGCUGACAAUGGGUUCCAAUGAUCCCAUCCCCCAAAUCCCAAAUGCUGUCAGUUUCCUGCUUCACUUUAACUCCUGGCCAGAUGUCCCUUCUUGGCUGUUUUCUUGGCAGAUGAAUGUCAGCUCAGUUCAGGGUCACUGGAAUGUGUUGCUCCCUCUGCCCAAGUCAUUGAUCUCAGUCGUCAUGGCAACUUCCUGACUCUCAAGAUUUGUCCCCCAGGUGUGUCUCGGAGCUCCAGAUAAUGACCUGAUAUUUGUUAACCGGCUGCUAGGUUCUGGGUAUAUCUGACAUGUUUCAUUAAGUUUGAAUGGGGAACCAAGGCUUGAAAACAGCCCUCCUUAUCUCACUUCCUGCUGUCUCACCUUGGGUUAUCCCCAUCCACCUUCUUCCUGGGUUGGUCUGUCUGACCAAUGGGAGAUUUCAAAGUGUUGCUAGGCCACUUCUAAGUUUCUCUGUAAAAAUCCAUGGGUUCUGAGUAAUCCUUCCUUAGGGUCACACACCUUGGGAGAAGCCUUUCUAAGCUCCUGUGGUGGGAAGACGAAACCUUCGGCCACAUUAGUGAGAUCUUCAGUAAGCUCUUCAGCCCAAAUCUGCAGACUCCAGCAGGUGACAGUCUACAGCUUCAUGAGUAGGACCUACCCAGCCAAACCUGACCCAGCCUCCUGACCCUCAGGACCAUGGAAGAUGGGACAAAAAGAAAGAACGAGACAAAACACCAUGGACUGAUGAGACCGAGGAAUGAAAUUCAUUUAUGAUGAUUGAUUCCAAGAGUAGUGUCUCCUGGGUAAUUCUCAACCUGUUACUAUGGCUCUGCAGAGUGAUAGCUAGUGGAAAUGAAGCUGCUAAAACUGGAUUAUCAUGAGCCAAACACACUCACUCAAUAAGUCCCAAGAAAUCCAUUCAAAACGCUCGUGAAAAAUUGAAAACAAGAGACGGCCUUUUGUUUUCUUUUCCUUAUCCCAGCUGAUGACCUAGGACACGCUUCUUCCUUGAAUCCCAGUCAGCAAAUUCACAACAAUAUUUAUCCAAGAAAGACAAAUGAUUAGACUCACUCGGCUGAAGUAGGAACCCACCUGAGCUGUUGGGACUCAGAUUCUGAGCAAAAGUCUUUGAAUGGUCUUGGCACGUGUCUCUGGAAUUAUUUGAGAAAGAUUUUCUUUAUCUUGGAAAAAGUUAGAUAAUGUUUGGUGGGUGAGUACCCAGGAAUCUAAAAUGUAUUCAUUUCUGAAAUCUUUCUAAGUAGAUAUCUAUGGCAUCCUAAGGCUUUGUUAGAAAAAUCAAAACAGUGUCAUCUACUGUAGAAAAGGCUAACAGAACCUUUUAAAAGGCCAUUUUUCACAACUCUGUACAAUUUGUAUUUAGAAUGCUCACAUUGUGUGGCUGUUAUUUCUUGUGUGGGGAAUCAAACCCAGGGCCUUGUGCAUGCUUCCUAGUCCUCUACCACUAAACUACAUGCCCAGACCCAAUGGGGCUGUUAGUCUUGCUUUCUGUAUGAUCACAUCGUGGCUACUAUAAAAACACUGGUUUACAAAGAAUUAGCUCUGCCACUCUGCCUGGGAAUGC